UUGUAAACUAAAUUGGUUACA
rnacentral:piRNA from 1 species